rnacentral:rRNA from 1 species
UACGUAGGGGGCAAGCGUUGUCCGGAUUUAUUGGGCGUAAAGAGCGUGUAGGCGGCCAGGUAGGUCUGCUGUGAAAACUCGAGGCUUAACCUCGAGACGUCGGUUGAAACCGUAUGGCUAGAGUCCGGAAGAGGAGAGUGGAAUUCCCGGUGUAGCGGUGAAAUGCGCAGAUAUCGGGAAGAACACCCGUGGCGAAGGCGGCUCUCUGGGACGGUACUGACGCUGAGACGCGAAAGCGUGGGGAGCGAACAGG